AUUGAACGCUGGCGGCAGGCCUAACACAUGCAAGUCGGGCGAGUGGCGGACGGGUGCGUAAUGUAUGGGAACGUGCCCGAUGGAGGGGGAUAACUACUGGAAAAGGUAGCUAAUAACGCAUACUAUCAGAGAGACCCAUAUGGGCUUAGCUGGUAGGUGGGGUAACGGCUCACCUAGGCGACGAUCCCUAGAUGGUCUGAGAGGAUGAUCAGCCACACUGGGACUGAGACACGGCCCAGACUCCGACGGUAGGCAGCAGUGGGGAAUAUUGCACAAUGGACGCAAGCCUGAUGCAGCCAUGCCGCGUGUAUGAAGAAGGCCUUCGGUUUGUAAAGUACUUUCAGUCGGGAGGCGUUACCGACAGAAUAAGCACCGGCUAACUCCGUGCCAGCAGCCGCGGUAAUUC
rnacentral:rRNA from 1 species